rnacentral:rRNA from 1 species
ACGAACGCUGGCGGUAUGCCUAACACAUGCAAGUCGAACGAAGGCUUCGGCCUUAGUGGCGCACGGGUGCGUAACGCGUGGGAAUCUGCCCUUUGGUUCGGAAUAACAGCUGGAAACGGCUGCUAAUACCGGAUGAUGACGAAAGUCCAAAGAUUUAUCGCCAGAGGAUGAGCCCGCGUUGGAUUAGGUAGUUGGUGGGGUAAAGGCCUACCAAGCCGACGAUCCAUAGCUGGUCUGAGAGGAUGAUCAGCCACACUGGGACUGAGACACGGCCCAGACUCCUACGGGAGGCAGCAGUGGGGAAUAUUGGACAAUGGGCGCAAGCCUGAUCCAGCAAUGCCGCGUGAGUGAUGAAGGCCCUAGGGUUGUAAAGCUCUUUUACCCGGGAAGAUAAUGACUGUACCGGGAGAAUAAGCCCCGGCUAACUCCGUG